ACAAAAAGUGAUAAGAUUAUUAUAAUGAAAGUGUAUACUGACAUUAUAAUAGUUUUAUUCAUGUUCUAUAAACAAAUACCUUCACGUGGUAUAGAAUGAACAGUGUAUUGGAAUAAUACAUUGACCAAGAUUUGUAAUGUAAGAAUUGUGAAUGUUAAAAAUGAUGUGUUUUAAUAUGUAGAGAAUUAUAUUAAAUGAUAAAUAUACACGUGGUAAAUAAAUUUAUUUUGUUUAAAAUUUUUAAGAUGUAUAAUAUGAUAUUAUAUAACUAAUAAACUUUUCAUAC
rnacentral:misc_RNA from 1 species